GACAGAGGGUGCAAACGUUGUUCGGAAUUACUGGGCGUAAAGCGCGUGUAGGCUGCUCAGAAAGUCGGAUGUGAAAGCCCUGGGCUUAACCUAGGAAGUGCAUUCGAAACUUCUGAGCUAGAGUUCUGGAGAGGAAGGCGGAAUUCUCGGUGUAGAGGUGAAAUUCGGUAGAUAUCGAGAGGAACACCGGUGGCGAAGGCGGCCUUCUGGACAGUGACUGACGCUGAGACGCGAAAGCGUGGGGAGCAAACAGG
rnacentral:rRNA from 1 species